rnacentral:pre_miRNA from 1 species
CUGGUGGACCGCGGAACAUGUGCUUCGUUCGUGCCAUAUGUCUGCCGACCAUCACCU